rfam:Lasius niger Lnig_2.1_5630, whole genome shotgun sequence.
CAAACGGCCCUUUUCAGGGCCACCUCAUAAAAACAUACAAAAACAA